CCUACGGGGGCUGCAGUGGGGAAUAUUGGACAAUGGGCGAAAGCCUGAUCCAGCCAUGCCGCGUGUGUGAAGAAGGCCUUCGGGUUGUAAAGCACUUUCAGUGGGGAAGAAAGCCUUGGGGCUAAUACCCUCGAGGAAGGACAUCACCCACAGAAGAAGCACCGGCUAACUCCGUGCCAGCAGCCGCGGUAAUACGGAGGGUGCGAGCGUUAAUCGGAAUUACUGGGCGUAAAGCGCGCGUAGGCGGUCUGAUAAGCCGGUUGUGAAAGCCCCGGGCUCAACCUGGGAACGGCAUCCGGAACUGUCAGGCUAGAGUGCCGGAGAGGAAGGUAGAAUUCCCGGUGUAGCGGUGAAAUGCGUAGAGAUCGGGAGGAAUACCAGUGGCGAAGGCGGCCUUCUGGACUGACACUGACGCUGAGGUGCGAAAGCGUGGGUAGCAAACAGGAUUAGAUACCCUGGUAGUC
rnacentral:rRNA from 1 species